AAACCGUGCAUUGGGCAUUUCCGCAUAAAGUCUUUAAAUCCCUCCCAAGCUUCAUAAAGGUUUUCAUAUUCCAUUUGCUUGAAAUAUGUGAUGGUGUUCCUCAAUCU